rnacentral:lncRNA from 1 species
AUCACUGUAUUCAUUACAUAUCAUUUUAUUUUCUUCAAUGAUCAAGAAACCCCAAUCUAAAAAUUGACCGACAUAAAAAAAGACCCCAUCAAAAUUAUCCUCUUGGACGAAGGGUGAACAUCUUCCUUCGACUUGUGGCUCAUAAUAGAUGUUAUUGUCCAAACACAGGAAAGCUAAAUAUCAAAGGAAAAUAAGCAACAAUAAUAUGUGAAAAAGAUAACUUGAAUAAAUGAGGAGAUGACUCUUCAAAAAUCAUAUGUGUGCAUGCUAAGGAAAAUACACCCGAUGUAAGAGACCUUAAAUGCGCAAAUUCUCAAGACCAAUGCCUCCUCUUGACUUUCAAAAGAAGCUAAAGAAACAGUCGAUUACUAAAACAGAUAGGACAAACCCUUGCACUGCAAUGAAUAAACAUUUGGUUUGAGGGACAACUGAUCUAGGCUAAC